rnacentral:rRNA from 1 species
GACGAAGGUGGCGAGCGUUACUCGGAAUUACUAGGCGUAAAGCGUGGGUAGGCGGUUCGGCAAGUCUGUUGUGAAAGCUCCCGGCUCAACUGGGAGAGGUCAAUGGAUACUACCGGACUUGAAUGUGGGAGAGGUCACUGGAAUUCCCGGUGUAGCGGUGAAAUGCGUAGAGAUCGGGAGGAACACCGAUGGCGAAAGCAGGUGACUGGACCACUAUUGACGCUGAGCCACGAAAGCUAGGGGAGCAAACAGG